GGAGUUAGGGUUUAGUGGGGUACAAUUGGUUAAUGUGGAAUUAAGAGACCUCGGUUUGCGUGCAGAAGAAAAGAAAAAAAUUCCUAUCCUCCUUCUUCCUUCCAGCCCCCACGCGCGAGAUCCUUUUUCCCCAACUUGUUCUUCCACCAGUCGUACGUGGUUUCGGCAGGUCACCGGCCGUCUGAACGCCGUCGCCUCCUCAUUGUCACCGUCCGCGCCGCUCACACCUCAGCCCAGCUGCUCCACUCGCAUAUCAGUUUUCCGCCAGCUGCAUCGCUCGACCUUUUGCUUUUCCGCCAGUCACAUCGCACACCGACGUUUUCCACCAGUCCGAGUUUCUUUGGUUUUUCCGUUCCCUUCUUCACGCCCGCCAGUCGCUGAUCUCUUCCAUUUUGCCCGAAACUCUGCGAAUUGUUUUUUUUUUUUUUUUUUGUGAGAGUUAGGUUUUAUUUGGUUUUUAGUUAUUGGGUUUUGAAUGGCUAUCGAAUUUGGUCUAAUUUAAGUCAUGCUCAGGAUGCAUUGUUGCUCAAUUUGGGGUUUCAAGAUAUUAUUUUUCCGAUACUAUUCAGAAGCAUCAAAGAUUGUUGGAGCCACCUUUUGUUUGGCUUAUGACUGGUUUGGAUUCCAUACUUGAAGCUCAGGUGUAGUUCUAGUUAAGUCGACAUUUUGGGGCGAUUCAAGCAUUUGACUCAAGUCAAAGAGGGAUUUGAUUGAUAGUUGGAUUUUUGUUUGCUAAUUGUUCGACAUAAAUUUGAGGUAAGGGUAAAGAUAGACCGGCGCAUGACAAGAGAGAUCCGUGACUUGGCCAUUUGGACGAGUUGUUGCUUCCGCACUUAGGUUUCAUGUACUAGAGUAUGGUUUAGGAGUCAGGCAUUUUAAAAUUUUAUGAAAUAUUCCUUGAUUUUAUUUAUUGAUUUAUUUAAUUGUUAUUUAUUUUAAA